rnacentral:pre_miRNA from 1 species
UCCUCAUUGUGCAUGCUGUGUGCGCUCCUGUGUCCCACACAGCGUCCUGCAAUGUGGAGG